UCGUCCGAGUUGUAACCUGGAGAGGCAUUUUCCGCGUUGGACCGUGUACAAGUCUCCUGGAACGGAGCGUCAUAGAGGGUGAGAAUCCCGUCCAUGACACGGACCGCCAAUGCUCUGUGAUAUGCCUUCGAAGAGUCGCGUUGUUUGGGAAUGCAGCGCAAAAUGGGUGGUAAAUUCCAUCUAAAGCUAAAUAUUGGCGAGAGACCGAUAGCGAACAAGUACCGUGAGGGAAAGAUGAAAAGCACUUUGAAAAGAGAGUUAAACAGUACGUGAAAUUGUUGAAAGGGAAACGCUUGAAGUCAGUCGCGUUCCGUGGAACUCAGCCUUACUUCAAGUUUGGUGUACUUUCCACGUGAACGGGUCAACAUCGAUUUUGGCCGGUGGACAAAGGCAAGGGGAAUGUAGCGUCGCUUCGGUGACGUGUUAUAGCUCCUUGUUGCAUACACCGGCGGGGAUUGAGGACCGCAGCACGCCCUUUGUGGCCGGGGGUUCGCCCUACGUUACCGUGCUUAGGAUGUUGGCAUAAUGGCUUUAAGCGACCCGUCUUGAAACACGGACCAAGGAGUCUAACAUGCUUGCGAGUGUUCGGGUGGAAAACCCUUGCGCGUAAUGAAAGUGAAGGUUGGGAGCCCCCCUCCCUAGGGGGGUGCACUGACGCCCGGCCCUGAAGUUCUCUGACGGUGCUGCGGUAGAGCAAGUAUGUUGGGACCCGAAAGAUGGUGAACUAUGCCUGAAUAGGGCGAAGCCAGAGGAAACUCUG
rnacentral:rRNA from 1 species